rnacentral:rRNA from 1 species
GACGGAGGAUGCAAGUGUUAUCCGGAAUCACUGGGCGUAAGGCGUCUGUAGGUGGUUUAAUAAGUCAACUGUUAAAUCUUGAGGCUCAACCUCAAAAUCGCAGUCGAAACUAUUAGGCUAGAGUAUAGUAGGGGUAAAGGGAAUUUCCAGUGGAGCGGUGAAAUGCGUAGAGAUUGGAAAGAACACCGAUGGCGAAGGCACUUUACUGGGCUAUUACUAACACUCAGAGACGAAAGCUAGGGUAGCAAAUGGG